rnacentral:siRNA from 1 species
UACAAGUUUAUUAGGUCUCGUCUA